UCCGAACCACAGGCAUAAUAAUCGUCUUCUGGGUGGGUUAAUGAUUCCCAUGAAUAGCUGACGGGACAGGUAUGUUUUACGCACAUUUACCAUUUUUUCCAAUGAGCGACAAAGCGUUUGUUUCUUGUUGCACGUGACCCGGAAACGGGUGGAGCAGAGGAUAUUGCGACGGCAUCCGCCUCGGAGCGUGAACAGAAGCCAUGGAGGUGCAAGAAGAGGUGCCAGACGCCGCUAGCUAAUCACGUGAAUAAGAAGAAUGACUGAAGAAGCGAAGCGAACGUACGAGCUUGUGGUGUUUGGUGCGUCCGGUUAUACUGGUGAAUUUGUGGCUGAAAGAGUCGCAAAACGGGCAAGGGAAGUCUCUCUUUCAUGGGCAGUCGCAGGCAGAAAUCUUGCAAAGCUGCAGAAGGUUGUAGACGAUAUUGCCAAGUCAACAGGGUUGGCUGAACAAUGAGAAUGGUAGCGACUUCAAUGAAUAAGGUAGAAUAGAGAUGUAAUGGCA